UUGUGGUUUAAUUCGAAGCAACGCGAAGAACCUUACCAGGUCUUUGACAUCUUUUGAAUGGUCUAGAGAUAGAUCAGGCCUUCGGGACAGAAGAGACAGGUGGUGCAUGGUUGUCGUCAGCUCGUGUCGUGAGAUGUUGGGUUAAGUCCCGCAACGAGCGCAACCCUUAUCAUUAGUUGCUAACAUUCAGUUGAGAACUCUAAUGAGACUGCCAGUGAUAAACUGGAGGAAGGUGGGAUGACGUCAAAUCAUCAUGCCCCUUAUGACCUGGGCUACACACGUGCUACAAUGGCCGGUACAAAGAGUUGCGAAACUGUGAAGUUAAGCUAAUCUCAUAAAGCCGGUCUCAGUUCGGAUUGUAGUCUGCAACUCGACUACAUGAAGUCGGAAUCGCUAGUAAUCGCGAAUCAGAAUGUCGCGGUGAAUACGUUCUCGAGUCUU
rnacentral:rRNA from 1 species